rnacentral:rRNA from 1 species
GAUGAAUGCUGGCGGCGUGUCUAAGGCAUGCAAGUCGAACGGGCGCAACAUCGUAGCAAUACGUUGAGGCGCUAGUGGCAAACGGGAGCGUAACACAUUGGUAACCUACCUCGAACUCGUGGAUAACGAUUGGAAACGAUCGCUAAUACACGAUAUUGAUGGGGGGACGCAAGUCAUUCCCAUUGAAAGUUUUUCGGUUCGAGAGGGGCCUAUGGUCCAUCAGCUUGUUGGCGGAGUAAAAGCCCACCAAGGCUAUGACGGAUACCAGGCGCGAGAGCGUGACCUGGCUCAUUGGGACUGAGACACUGCCCAAACACCUACGGGUGGCUGCAGUCGAGAAUAUUCCACAAUGCACGAAAGUGUGAUGGAGCGACGCCGCGUGUCAAAAGAAGGCCUUCGGGUCGUAAAUGACUUUUCUCAGGGACGAAUUUAUGACGGUACCUGAGGAAUAAGGGGUUGCUAACUCUGUGCCAGCAGCAGCGGUAAUACAGAGACCCCAAGCAUUAUCCGGAUUUAUUGGGCGUAAAGCGUUCGUAGGCGGUUUCGUAAGUCAUUUGUUAAAUCUUCAGGCUUAACCUGGAGGCUGCAGGUGAUACUGUGAAACUUGAGUAUGGGAGAGG